rnacentral:rRNA from 1 species
UCCGCCUAAAGAAAAGCUCGCGGCUGAUUAGCUAGUUGGUAAGGUAAUGGCUUACCAAGGCGACGAUCAGUAUCUGGUUUGAGAGGACGAUCAGACACACUGGAACUGAGACACGGUCCAGACUCCUACGGGAGGCAGCAGUGGGGAAUUUUCCGCAAUGGGCGAAAGCCUGACGGAGCAAUACCGCGUGAGGGAAGACAGCCUACUGGGUUGUAAACCUCUUUUUUCAGGGAGGAAAAAAAUGACGUGUACCUGAAGAAUAAGCAUCGGCUAACUCCGUGCCAGCAGCCCGCGGUAAGACGGAGGAUGCAAGUGUUAUCCGGAAUUACUGGGCGUAAAGCGUCUGUAGGUUGUUUAAUAAGUCAACUGUUAAAUCUUGAGGCUUAACUUCAAAACGGCAGUCGAAACUAUUAGACUAGAGUAUAGUAGGGGUAAA